UUUCUGACGUGCUGAACAGACCAAAGCUUCC
rnacentral:piRNA from 1 species